GUGGCAGAAGGCUGCAGACCAUAUUAUUUUCUGGGAGGAUUUCAAGGAACGGAGAGUAAGGAUGGCGGAAGAAGGAGGCAAUGGAAAGGGAAGUGAGAAUUGGGUGGAGGAUCUUCAGCGCGCGGUCGUCCAAUCUAAGGACUCAGCCAUUCGCUCUGCUCGUUCCUUUCAACAAAAUUCUUCUUCCCAUCUUCGCUCCUUACAGGAUUAUGUGCCACAAGCAAUUUCUCAGUUCAAAACUUAUGAAGAUACCUUUUUCAACAGAAUUAAAGGGGAGUUGAUGAGUGCAAGGGAACACCCAGUUGAGGCUGUUGGGGUUGCUGUAACAGCUGGUCUCCUUCUUAUGCGAGGCCCUCGAAGGUUUCUGUUUCGUCAUACAUUUGGUCGACUUCAAAGUGAAGAGGCAAGCAUUUUUUUCAUUCUGUAGAAUCUUACGUUAUCCUACACAUACGUGACUGAGAUGACAUUUACAAAUGGACUGCCAAUUUAACUGGUUUACCACUGAAUUUUCUGAUUUUUGGUUUUUAGGGUUUCGAUGUUCAUUGUGAAAGGAUGGUUCUUGCAUAUCUGAUAUGUUGUUGUCUGUUUAUACACUUGCAGUCAAAAUUUCUUAAAGCUGAAAAGAAUGUAAAAGAGUUGAACCUUUCUGUAGAUUUAAUGAAGAAGGAGAGCCGAAAAUUACUUGAAAGGGCAUCUCUGGCUGAGAAGGAUAUGAAACAUGGCCAUACUGAGCUCUUGUAUAGUGAUUUUAAGUUCUAUUGCAUUCAGCUAUACUUUAUUGACAGUCUCAGUUUAUUUACUCAGAUUUAUAUCUGUAGGGAUGCUGGAAGUCAAAUUCAAUGGCAUGCUAAAUCAGUUUACAAGGUUGAAACCCAAGUUGCAGGUAUGCAUGCUAGACUUUUACUGUUUCCCUUAUUAUUGCUGAUGGGUUCUUGGCGCAUUCCUCUGUUUUGGCUGUAACUCAUGCUGCCUUACGGUUUUUUACAAUUGUGAAACCUUCAACUUUAGAUUGGCUGGAUUGGGAAUCUAAAAACCAAGAAUUUUUUAGUUCAAAUCAUAUAAACAUGGUCUAAUGACAAAAAGAAAAACAACUUUAAUUUUUUUUUACUAUUAUAUCCAAUUUUUUUAAUCUUAUCAAUUUGAAUUGUAAACUUUAAUCCAUAUUAAUAUUGUAUACUUCAUUAGUCUUUUGUUUAGCUUUCUGGUAAUUUAUCAAUGCGGAGGCUAACCAUGAGUUGUGAGUCUCACUGCUGAUAAUGAGCUGAUGUGGCGUGGAUCCACCUGCCUGAGCAUUGAUAGCUACCAAAUUGAAUGGACUAUUGCCAAAUAGGAUUGCUGCUUUUAAGUUAUGCUUCGAAAGGUGCAGUUCUUGCCACAUCAACUCCUUAGCACAGUGUAAGACAUAAUUCUAAUUAUGUAUCUUAAAAAGUGAAUAGCAAUUUUUGAACACAAAGUUAAGAGAAAAAAAUGUAAUACUAGUUAAAUUUUAUGAAUUUGAUAAAAUUGAAAAGAAUUGGUUAUAUAAUAGUAAAAAGUGCCAAAGUUCAUAUACAUGAACUUGAUUGAAGUAAUAUAAAAAAUAAAUUGAAAUAUCUUCUUCAUUUUAAAUUCCCUAUCCAAAUGUAGCCUUAAAGAACUUUGUGGAUUACAAUAUAUCAUGUUCUAAGCUAUAAAAAGGCUUUGUUUAUGGUCAUUGAUGGAAAGUUUGGCACUGUUAUUUUCCACCUAAAAGGUUUUAUAGCUGUUAGGGGAGAGUUAUGUUUUCUUUAGUGAGCUAUUAGGCAUUAGCCCUUGAUAAGGGUAUGGGAAAUAACCUUGGGUUUGGGUUUAAGUGUGUUGCACUUGUUAAUCAAGUUGCUAUGCAUGUGGAAUAAAUGCCAGCAUAUUUUUAAAAAGAAACUCUGCAAUUGAUGAUCCCAUUUCGAUUUACUUGUGUUAGAUUUGAUGGAUGGGCUACGAGAAAUCCCUGGAAGGGAGGCUUUGAAACUUCGAGCAGAGGUUGCUUCUAUGGCAUCACUUUUGAAGCAGCAUAGGACUGUGCUGGACAAACAGAUCAUGAAGAUUUCUGAACUAGGGGUUCCUGUUUGAUAGCAUAUAAGUGAUCCUUGAGGGCACCACUUGGGGUAUCUCUAUUUUCUUACUUUUAAUUAUUCAACACCAAAGCAUGCUCAUGAUGAGAGAACAUGAGAUUUUUCCUUUUCCAAAGUAACACUGGAAACAAUGAUUGUAGCUUCAAAUGGUGCAUUUUGUGAAAUUCAUUGGUUAAACUAAUUUAUUAACAAAUAUUGUCAUCUUAUAUUCCAUUAUCGUUUUAAAUGUAGCACUGAAGAACAGUUAGCAAGCAGAAGCAUUACCUUUUCUUUUUGAUAAAUGGUUAAAAGUUUUUGUUAAUGAUCAAGAUAUUUACACUAGAGACCUGAGCACUAGCUGUCCUAAAAUCUGCGGCAAUGCAAUAUAAACAGUUAUGCCUCUCUGUCUCUCUGCUGAUAGUGUGAAGACAAGAGAGUUGCAUGGACUGCACGGCAAUGGAAAUCUCCAAAAUUGUGGGCUACUUUUUGCUCAAUGACUACUGAUGUCUGUGCCCCGUAGGUGAAUCCUCGAAGGCCUUGAGUAGCAGGAAUAUUAGAAUGGAGUCAAAGGACGUCCAGUGAUCCCUCUGAUAUAACAAAGUAUUAUUUUUUAGAUUAUAUUUGUUUCAUGGAAAAUAAAAAAAUAUUUUCUUGUAGUUUUGAUAUUUG
rnacentral:misc_RNA from 1 species